rnacentral:rRNA from 1 species
UACAGAGGUCCCAAGCGUUGUUCGGAUUCACUGGGCGUAAAGGGUGCGUAGGUGGUGGGGUAAGUCGGAUGUGAAAGCUCGGAGCUCAACUCCGAAAUGGCAUUGGAAACUACCCUGCUAGAGGAUUGGAGGGGGGACUGGAAUACUUGGUGUAGCAGUGAAAUGCGUAGAUAUCAAGUGGAACACCAGUGGCGAAGGCGAGUCCCUGGACAAUACCUGACACUGAGGCACGAAAGCUAGGGGAGCAAACGGG